UGAGGAAUAUUGGUCAAUGGACGGAAGUCUGAACCAGCCAUGCCGCGUGAAGGAUGAAGGCGUUCUGCGUUGUAAACUUCUUUUAUCUGGGAAGAAACCACAGAUUUCUAUUUGUGUUGACGGUACCAGAGGAAUAAGCACCGGCUAACUCCGUGCCAGCAGCCGCGGUAAUACGGAGGGUGCGAGCGUUAUCCGGAUUUACUGGGUUUAAAGGGUGCGUAGGCGGGCUAUUAAGUCAGAGGUGAAAUCUCCGGGCUCAACCUGGAAACUGCCUUUGAUACUAUUAGCCUUGAAUUAUGUUGAGGUUGGCGGAAUAUAACAUGUAGCGGUGAAAUGCUUAGAUAUGUUAUGGAACACCCAUUGCGAAGGCAGCUGGCUAAACAUAUAUUGACGCUGAUGCACGAAAGCGUGGGUA
rnacentral:rRNA from 1 species